UCUUCUGAAAAGGACUUCUUACCCCUGUGGUUCUUUCUGGAUCAUUUUCCAGCAUGCUAUUACCCCUACUGGGGUACUUAUUUUUAAGGACCAUCCUAAAUUCCAUAAUAUACUUGAAUAAUGCUAAAUUUUCUUCUCAUAUUUUAUUGGCAUAUCAUUCUUUUUCAUGUAUUUAGGAUACUUGAAUGCAAUUUUUUGUUUUUUAAGAGUGAUUCGAUCCAACGAUUUUGGGUUAACCUUCUCUGGUAUUCGUGGCUUAGUUUUCUUUUUCAUCCGUUAUUCUUUACUUCGCCCAUCGGGGCUGUGGAUAAUUGGUAUGAUUAUUUGCCCAGCGGGGCUGUGGAUGCGUGACUUUUAGAGAUUUUAUAUAUAUUUGGAUGUACAUGUACAUGUAUGUACAUAUGUAUGCAUAUACAUACGUAUGUAUGUGUAUAUGCAUUAAUGUGUAUCUUUUGCCCAUCGGGGCCAUGGAUACGUGCGCUAAAAACUUUUAUCCCCUUCGCCCAUCCGGGCCUCGGAUACCUGCAGUCCGCUCCCUAACCUUAUACAAACAUUUAAAUGAGCCGGCCCAUCAGGGCAACGGAUACCUGCUUUUCUUUUCAUAUAAUUGUUUUCUUGGUCCAUCGGGACCCUGGAUACCUGCUCGGUUUUUUUUUUUUCCUUGCCCAUCGGGGCCUCGGAUACCUGCUCGCUUUUUUUUUUUUUCCACUUGCCCAUCGGGGCCAUGGAUACCUGCUUAGAUUUUUUUUUUCUCGUAUGGCUCCACAGGGCGUUUUAUGAAUGGAAGUGUUAUUUUAUGAUAAUUGUGCUAUUUGGAAUGUCUACAGAUUUUCAUGGCUGGUAAUCGUUCCGUGGUGUGAGUGGAUCUGCGGUACUUGUGAAGUUAGGGUAAGGGGUUGUGUAGCCUGGGGGGGUUAUGGCUGCCGUUUUCAUGGCUGCCGCUUUCAUGGCUGCCGCUUUCAUGGCUGCCGCUUUCAUGGCUGCUUCUCUUGCGUGAAUGGCGGUAGUUUGCGCUCAACAUGGAGGACGGACGGAAUGACUAAAGCGUUUUGCAUGACUAAAGCGUUUUUCAAAACGCUUGUUAGGAAGCGUGUGACAAUUGCAUUGUUGUCAGGAUCAUAUUGUUAUUCCAAGAGGCUGAUUGAUGACAAAGAAAAUACAUAAUGAGUCCCGAUGAGCAUGGCGGCGGUUACUAUGCAGCCUUGCUAAGUAUGGCGGCCAGCAUUGUUAAUGUCCAAGAUGGCGGAUCGGUUGCCGCAGUGUCCAAAUGGCGGGAAAACCACGUCAGGGUGGUAUCUUUGUUCUCGCGUGGAGUAUGGCGGUGCAAAUAUUCUAUUACAUAGAAGAUGGCUGCUGAAGGACAUGCCACAUUGUAUAACAUGGCGGGCUUUUGUCUUUGCCGUAUGCAUUUCCUGGUAGGUUUUGCCAUAGGGACAAUAUGGAUGACACUGUCAUGUGAAUGUCAUGCCAUUUUGUCACGUGGAUGUCUUGGCGCGGCUAGGAUUUUUUGGCAGUUGUUCAUGGCGGGCUUUGCCGCUAGGUGGAUUUGCCGCAUUGUUAAAGAUGGCGGACUUUGCCGCGUUUGCCUUGAAAAGCGGAAGAUGGGAGGGGCAGUUUUGCAUUGCAGCGUUAAGCACCCAAUCAGAAAGGGUAGUAAGAUAGGGCACAGGCAAUUGGUGGAUUAGAAUACUGAGUUAGCAUGGCUCCUGGCUGAGGUCUUUAUUCAGCCUUAAGGAAGGAAGUGGCUGAGUAGGCUUGUACUUCUGCUCCGUGGGUGGUCCCGAAGGUCUUUCCAAGGACAUUCAGCCAUUUCACUGGCUUCCUCCAGUUUCUGCUUCUGUCCUCUUGAGCAUUGUCUCUUGCAGUGCUGGAUAGUUGGCUGGGGUCUGACCCUAAGAGUAAUUGCAUGGCCUCAGGCUCUUUUGCCCCCCCUGCUGCUUGGCUGCUCUAACUUGCCCAGGGCUAUGCUGCCUUAGGUGAAUGGUGAUCAGUGGUAACAAGGAUCAGAAUGAAUCACAAAAGACGGUUUUCCAUUAGGUAGUACCGGAGAAAUCCCUACCUUCCUCAGAGAACAACCUACCCCUUAGCUACUGCUGGGGUCGGAUUUAUUGCUUGGAUGUUGUCUAUAGGUUAUGUGGUUUUCAAGUAUUCUUUUUAGCCUAAGGAUAUUAUGGAACUGUGUAUAGGGGCUGUUUAUUUUUUAGAUUUCAUGUUAACUAUAAUAAUUGCUUUGAAUCUGGUUUCUUUUACAUUCAUAUAUUUCUGUUAAUUAUUUGAACUGCUUGAUUUUGGCUAUAGGUAUUCCGUCAAGUUACCUUGCAUAAAAAAAUGUUUCUUCUUUUUUUAAUUUUGAAAUUGACAUAACAAAACAACUUUCUAUUUUUGAAACAUCACAAAUAAUUAAAAUUUACUUUUAAACUGUUAAACUGAGGGAAUGCGGAAAGGAAUAUUUUAAGGUCCAUUCUUAUCCAGGCCUUGCUUCGUUCUUAUUGUCAACGCUGCACUAAUUGACGAAUCAUCUAUGCCUGUUGUAGGAGACUAGAAGUUUUAUGAACUUGUCUCCUUAUUGGAUUAUCAAUGACCACAAUUCCAAUUUUCUGUUAUCAGUCCGUCAUCUACUGCCCAGCCUGAUCCCAGCAAUAUCCCAUCUAGCCCCAGCCCUAGCCCCAGCCCUAGCCCCGUCCCAGCCCAGCCCCGUCCCAGCCCCGUCCCUGCCCUAGCCCCAGCCCUAGCCCCAGUUCUAGCCCCGUCCCAGCCCUAGCCCCAGCCCUAGCCCCAGCCCUAGCCCCAGCCCUAGCCCCAGUCCCUGCCCCUGCCCCUACCCAGCCCAACCCCUGCUCCAGCCCACUACCCUUGGUCCCCUGCCCCAGUCCUACUUCUCCCUAAAGGUGCUCAAAUUUGUAAUGAUUAUAGUCCAUGGAAGUAGUUGGAUUGCUUAUCCAUUAGAAUGGAGUAUCAUAUCUGACUCUGGAAUUUGUUGUCGAGUCUUAGUACUGUCUACCAAAGUAAUCAUUUCAUUAGUGAAUACACAUUACCUGUAUCCCAAUUUUCUGGAGAGUGCUCUGCUAAUAAACUGUACUGAUUACCAAGACUCGCUGAGUGAAGUUCUGAUUGUCCAUAACCCUGCCCGUUGGAUUCCAAACAGAUCCAAAGCAGUUUUUGCAGUAAGAGACUUUUGUGUUAACAGAGUCUGUUGUGUUCUCUUUAAUGUCCUUACUCCCAUGUUCAUAGCUGUGUAUUAAAUAAUGAUAACCUAUCGAUUUGUUACUUUCAUCUGGAGAAUCCUGCUGUUCUAAGAAAAUUAAAGUACCAAAUUGUAAAUACAUGUUGUCUUUGGCCGUUAAUCAAUAAUCCCCUAUCUGCAUUGUUACUAAGAACUAUUAUGACUACCUAAAACCAAUAGUUAUCUUGAAUUAUUACAUUGGUUACAAAGAAGUAGCAUGAACACCUGAAACCAAUAAUCCUCUUGAAUUAUUAAUGAAUAGUACUCCAAUUGUCUGCCUCUUUUCAUUACACUAGUCCUUUGAUCUCUCUAUAAGUUCAUUUGCAAACUUGGAACCCCCAGUGCUUUGAAUUAACCUAGGAUCCUAUUCUCUCUUAAGCCAAAAGCCAAGUACUUAACUGAAAAUGGUGUACACUCUAGGAAUCCACACUUUCCAACACUCUUUGCAUUACAGUGGAGUGUACUUGGAACUAUUAAAAUGCUGAUGAAGCAAGUGCUGGUAAUCUGUCUCCUUGCAUUACAAAAAGACAAUACUUGGAACUGUAAAGCUAAAGUAACAUAGUUCCUUUGUACCCAGUUUCCAAUCCCUUUCUACUUUCUUUUAAAAGGGAUUUGGGACAGUGAAUGUGCUCCUUUGCACCUGUGGUCUCUUAUUCUAGACUAAGCAGCAGAAGUACUUGGACCCAAGAUAUUACUCAUCUCAGCUGUGGUCUCUUCUGUGUAUAUAAGAUCCCAUCCCCAUCUAUUACCUCAAUAUUAUAUAGGGGUGUAAUUGGGAUCAUUAAAAUGCUUAAUUAUGCAUUCUGGUGCCCUGUGCUUGUCCAGUAGAUUCUGAUUGCUUUAUACUCCUUUUAUUAAUGUAAAAUGUCUUUGAAGGGCAUCCUGGGACUCUUAAGGCAUUAAUUGCAAAUGAAGUCCCUUCUGGUAAUCCAUUUUCUAUCUUAAACUCCCUUUGCACUACCACAAAAGGGACUUGGAACUAUUCAACUAAAACUACUCUUAAUUACAGUAAUUGUUCCCUUAGUAUACUAAGCCCUCCACUUCCUCCCUUUAUAUCACCUGGGAGGCUUUCUAUCACUUUUAGAAUCCCUCCAUUGCAGCUGGUGGCACCUUCUUUGUAUUAAUUUUGCCCUCCUACAUCCUUUAGUAUUUACACAGAGGUUAUUUGAGUGUUAAAAUACUCAAAUGAAUCUGAGAUCCCACCCAUUUGAUAGUAUAAAAUGCUAUAUUCUACUCUAUUGGUAUUACAGCAUAGGUACUUGUGAUGGUUCAUGUGUUUAAUUGCAAUGGUGGUACCUGCUCUUAAUUUCAAAUACCACCUCAGUCCUUUUUUUUUGCAAUACAGCAGAGGAGUCCUGGGACCACUAAUAUGCUUAAAGGCAGGUGUGGUCCCUUUGUUAAGUCUAUGAUCUCAUUCCCUCUGAUUCCUUUCCUGAUACCUCAAAUGCUAUUUGAACUAAUACAGUGCCAAUAGCAUCUAAGUCUCUUUACGUGUUUCAGAGUGCCAUCCUGUGGUACUCCUGAGAAUUACAGCAGAGACUACUUGGUACCAUUACAAGCUUAUUUGCUGCGGUGGUCCCUUCCUGUAAUGUUGGGUCACUUGCCCUACUACUGGCUUUGCAUUACCGGGGACAUAAAAUGAGACUGCUUAAGUGCCUCAUUGCAGUUCUGGGCCCUUCUGUGGGUCAGGUUCUCCAUUCCUUAAGUCCCUUUGCAUUACAGCACAAAGGGUUGGGACUGUUGAGCUCUUCAUCGCAGUUUAGUCCCUUUGGCACUAUAGAAUCCCUUGUCCUAUCCUCAUUGCAUUACCUGGAAGACUAUUUGGGACUGUUAAAGGUCCUCAGUUUUGCAACAUUUAUCUAGUUUCACAAUUCUUUGUUGUCCCUCUGCAUUACAAUCAAGGACUUGGGACUAUUAGUGUGCUUAAUGCACGGAGGGCUAACUUAUUAGACAAAGAUAUUAUCUGCCACCACACCCUUUCCAUUAGUAAGGAGGGUACAUGGCACUUUUAAAGUGCUUAAGUAAUUGCAGCUAUAUUUUUUCUGUUCCUCUGAUUUCCUAUUCCUUCCUACUCCCUUUUCAAUACAACAGAAGGAAGGUUUGGGAACUGAUCCUCAAUUUGGGAUCUGAUAUCUUCUGUAUAUAUAGUUUCCUAUCCUCUUGUACUCCCUUUGUGUUAAAGGCCCGCUUUGUAAUGUUAAUUUGCAUAAUUGCAUGAGUGCCUCUUUCUAUAUAGUAAAUAAAAUACCACACUUGCUUCCCAUGUUCAGCAAUGGAAGACUUUCUUUACGGAAGACUUAUAAUGAAACAUGGUUAUUAACCAUAUUAUCUUUUUUUGUGUGUGUAUUUACAUUUAUAGUUUUAAUUGACCACAGCUGUACCUUUUAUAUUAGAACUCCUGUACUGUACUGUACUGUACUGGGGAAAUGAAGAGACCACUUUAAAACCCUUAUCGUGAGACUAUGGAUGGGAAUAAUUAACUGUUGCCCAUAGUCAUUACAAUUAACUGGGUCCGAGGUUAUUUGUCUUUACUGCACUAAUAUUUUCCACAGAAAGCCCUUUCUUAAACCUUCUACAAUUGUAAUUACCCUGUCACCCUUCCUUUGAAGGUACUAUAGGUUUUUUCACUUAAAGUUCCAUUUCUUGGCUUUAUGAUAAUAAGAAAUUUUAUUUCUCUGGGAUCCUGUGCACUGAAAAGGGGGGAUUAUAUUUGUCUGGGUUCUUGUAGCCUAGACAAAAAGUAGGUACUACUCACUACACCUUUCUGAUAUAACCGAGAGUACCUAUCCUGCAAGACUUUGGAGAAUCAAGGUGUACAAUUAUAAUAAAUUAUUAAAUCAAAGCAGUGCACCUUGAAAAUUAAUGCACACACCUGCACAUAACUCAUCUUUUAGAUUAUAGCUUUAUCCCUUUCAAAGUACAGCAGGGAGAAAGAACCUAAAAAGGCAUUUAAAUGGCCUGUUAAUAUUACUAUGAUAGAAACCCACCUUCUUGGUGCCUACAUACUUGGCCAAUUCCAGCCUUCUUUACCUAAAAUCAGGCAGUGCCCAAUUAACGUGCAUAACUGCACAUGUUGGAAUUUGAAAUAGAUCCUACCUUCAUAGCCCCUCUGCGUUAAAGCACAGGUGAUGUCCUAAGUUCUAUUAGCAUCACUUUGAUUCUGCUUGAAUCUGGUGCCUAUAAGUCCACAUCCACGCAUCUUAGACAUGAAUGUGCAUGACUCGUCAUUUGAAUGAGAUUUAACUCCCUGCCCCCUGUGGCAGUAUAGCAGGUGGAGCAACACCAAAGGCCUUUUGGCCCAGUUCUAUUAGAAUGUGUAACUUACAAAAACCCAUGCUCUAUCGAAAAUCCCUAAUCCAAAACUCUAGCUCUCAGUUCUUCCCAUUAAACAGAGCUAGAACACUUGUUCUAGAACUCUAUCUACUGAACUAGAAUACUUCUUUGGUCAAGGUGCACAAUUUCGACGAGAACACAAGACCUUGCACCGUGGACACUAAUUGUAAAUGACUCUACUUUUAAAUAAGAUUCUACCCGCAUAGCCCCUUGGCGGUAAAGCAGGGGUGAUGUCCCAAAGACCUCUUUUCUUGGUCUGUCAAUGACACUUUGAUUGCGUUUGGAUCUGUCCAUUAAUGAAGCCCACCCACGCCCUGCACAAACACUCUACCUAUCUCCACUUUCCUUUGUCUACCAUCAAGCAGUGCCUCUCCACUGAGCUAAAACAACUGGACAGUCAAGGUGCACACAUGUAAGUGACUACAAGUCCACAACUGCACCUCAGAUAUGAAUGUGCAUAAUUGCACAUGGCUCUCCAUUUGAAUUCAAUUCAACCCUCAUAGCACCUUUACAAUACUGCACAUAACCCCCAAAGGUCCCUUUCUUGGCCUUUAAAUAUUAUUGUGCUUCAAAUGGAAUCUAUCCAUUAGAGAAACCCACACUCUCCCCACCACAGCAGUGUCCCUCCGUGGACCUAGAACACUUGGACAGUAAAGGUGCACGCAGGUAUGUGACUACUAGUCUGCAACUGUGCACCUUGGACAUUUAUGUGCAUAAUUGCACAUGAUUCUCCAUUUGAAUAAGAUUCAAUCCUUAAAGACUUUCUGCAGUAAAGCAGGCAUGAUAUACCAAGGACUGUUACUGUCACUUUCAUUCUGUUUGACUAUGUCAAUUUAGAAAGCAUCCCAACCUAGCCCUCUUUGUGCACUCCCCUCUACAUCCUUUCUUUUCCAUCACAUAGUACCACUGCAGAACCAGAAUAUAGACUAUAAGCCUGCACUUUGAACAGGAAUGAGCAUGACUGCACAUGGUUUUCAUAUGAAUUGGAAAAUACCUUCAUCAACCCUCUGCGGUAAAGCAAGGGUGAUAUCCUACAAACAGGCCUAAUUUCUUGGCCUGUUAUUAUCAUUUUGAAAUGCAUUUUUAAUCUGUUCAUUGGAGAAGCCCACCCUCUCCCCUUCCUAUCUUGAACACAAAUGUGCUUAAUUGCACUGGACUCUCUAUAUGAAUAAGAUUAUAUCUUCAUAGACCUUAGGGGGCUAAAGCAAGGGGUGAUUGUCCCAGAGACUUGUUCUCUUGGCCUGUUAAUGUCACUUUGAUAGUAUUUGAACCUGUCCAUUAGAGAAGCCCACCCACUGCCUGUCCCAGCACUCUGCCUGACCCACUCUCCUUUGUCUACCAUCAGGCAGUGCAUCUUUACUAAAGUAAAAGUGCACGCAGUCAAGGUGUACACAUCUAAGUGACUACAGGUCCAAAAUGAUGCACCUUGGACGUGGAUGUACAUAAAUGCAUAACUGCCCAUUUGAAUAAGAUUCUAUCCUCAUAGCCCCCUUACUUAAAGAGGAGCACAAAUGUGCAUAACUGCACUGACUCUCCAUUUGAAAAAGAUUGUACCUUCAUCAGUCCUCUGCAGUAAAGCAAGGAUGAUAUCCUAUAAACCUAUUUUCAUGGCCUGUUAAUGUUUCUCUGAUUGUAUUUGAAUCUGUCCAUUAGAGAUACCCACUUUACAGAACCAAAACAAUUGGGCAAUCAUGGUGUGCACAACUAAGUGACUGCAAGUCCACAAUGAUGCACCUUGGACAUAAAUGUACAUAAUUGCACAUGGCCAUCCAUUUCCAGUUUUAGUAUAUGUGCUGCCAAAGGAAGCAUGAUGGCUCCCCAUUUGAAUGAUUCUACCCUCAUAGCCUCUCUGUAAUGCAGCAGAGGUGCCGAUCCUCAGGGUCUCGUGGAGUGUUAAUGCUACUUUAGCUAUAUUUGAAUAUCUCCCUGCUCUGUGCAUGCCACCCAUCUCCAGGAUAGGUGGAUGGAAAUGACCGUUCCAUCAGUCAUUUCCCCUCUAAAGCUAAGCCACUUGGACAGUUGAGGUGCACAAUUCUAACCACAAAGCCAUAACCACAGACCUUAGUAAUUGUAAUUAAUUUGUAAUUAAUUACAAAUUACAUUUGUAAUUAACUGUACGUAAUUUGUAAUUGCACGUGGUUCAAUAUUGGAUUAAGACUGUGCAGUACACCAGGGGUGGAGCCCCAAAGGCCUCUUUUCUUGGCCUAUUAUCACUUAGAUUACAUUUGAAUCUGUCCAUUAGAGAAGAAUUAGCCUCUUCUCUCCUUGCUCCCUUGCAUGUCUCCAUUGUUCUUCCCUCCCAUGAAUGAGGCAGUGCCCCUCCACAGAACUAGAACACUUGGACAAUUUAGGUGCACAUAUCUAAGUGACUAUAAGUCUACAACCGUGCACCUUGGACAUGAAUGUGUAUAAUUGCACAUAAUUCCCCAUUUGAAUAAAAUUCUUUCCUCAUAGCACCCUUGCUUAGUGUGGGAUGAUGUCCAGAGGCCUCGUUCUGGCCUGCUAAUCUUACUUUGAUUGUAUCUGAAUGUGCUCAUUAGAGAAGAGCACCCUAAGGCUUCCCUAUCUACCACAUUGCCCCAUGUCCUUCCCUUCCCCCAUGACAGUGCCCCCUACAGAACCAGAAUAUUUGGAGAGUCAAGUUGCACACAUCUAAGUGACUACAAGUCCACAAUGAUGCACCUUGGAUAUGAAUGUAUUUAAUUGCACAUGGCCAUCCAUUUAUAAGUUUAGUAUAUGUGCUGCCGAAGUGAGCAUGAUGGCUACCCAUCUAAAAUACUAUUCUACCCUCAUAGCCCCUUGGCAGUAAAGCAGGGGUAAUUGUCCCAGAGGCCUACUCUCUUGGCCUGUUAAUGUCACUUUGACAGUAUUUGAACCUGUCCAUUAGAGAAGCCCACCCACUACCUGUCCCAGCACUCUGCCUGACCCACUCUCCUUUGUCUACCAUCAGGCAGUGGAUCUUCACUUAACUAAAAGUGCACGCAGUCAAGGUGUACACAUCUAAGUGACUACAGGUCCAAAACGAUGCACCUUGGACGUGGAUGUACAUAAAUGCAUAACUGCCCAUUUGAAUAAGAUUCUGUCCUCAUCGCCCCCUUACUUAAAGUGGGGUGAUGUCCAAAGGCCUCAUUCUUGGCCUCUUGAUGCUACCUUAACUAUAUUUGAAAGCACCCACUGGGGAACCUCACCUUUAGGCUUCCCUAUCUACCACCCUUCUCCAUCUGCUUCCCUUUCCCCAUGACAGUGCCCCUAACAAAACCAGAACAUUUGCACAGUCGAGGUGCACACACCAAGUGACUACAAGCCCACAAUCAUGCACCUUAAACAUGAAUGUGCAUAUUUCCACAGACUGUACAUUUGAAAAAGAUUCUACCAUCAUCGACCCUGUGCUGUAAAGCAAGGGUGACAUCCUAUAGACUUGUUUUCUUGACCUGUUAAUGUCACUUUAACGGUAUUUGAAGCUGCUAAGCAAGACAAUUGGACAGUCAAGGUGCAAAACUCUAAGUGACUACAAGUCCACAACCAUGCAUCUUGGACAUGAAUGUGCAUAACUGAAUACAGUUGCCCAUUUGAAUAAGAUUCUAUCCUCAUAGCCUCUUUGCUUAAAGCAAGGGUUAUGUGCAAAGGCCAUUCUUAAUGUUACAUUUAAUGUUAUUUGAUUUUAAAUGAAUCUAUCCAGAACCCACCCUCACCCCACCCUAGCAGCCUGCCUGUCUCCAUCUUUCCCUUUUCAUCAGACUGCCCCUCUACAGAACUAGAAAACUUGGACAGUCAAAGUACACACAUGUACGUGACUACAUGUCCACAACUGUGCACUUUGAACAUGGAUGUGCAUAAUUGCACAUGGCUCUCCAUUUGAAUAAGAUUUUAUCCUCAUAACUCCUGGGCUAAGCUGAGCAUCAUGUGCCAAAUAUAUAUCCGUCAUUAUAGAAAACUAUUUUUCCCUCCCCUGUCACCAUUUUUCCUUUUCCCUGAGGCAGUGGUACAAGUCCACAACCAUGCACCUUAGAACUGACUAUGCAUAAUUAUGCAUAUGCAUGUGACUAUGCAUAAUGGCUCUACAUUUGAAUAAAAUUCUACAGUCAUAGGCCCUGUGCGGUAAAGCAGGGGUGAUUGGCUCAAAGGCCUAUUUUCUUGGCCUGUUACUUUGAUUAUAUUUGAAUCUGUCCAUUAGCCAAGAACAUCCUCUCUUUGUCCAACUCUAUCCUUUAUCAGGCAAAACCUUUCCACAGAACUUAAGCACUAAAGUAAAUUAAAGUCCAUAUUCAAGUACCUUAUACGAUAUAUGCAUAUAAAAACCAACCCUCAGACUCCUUUUGCCGUACCAUCUCAUAAGUCUAUAAAAUGUUAUUCCAUUAUACCCCCUUUCAUUGCUGCAGAGGCUACUGACUACGUAAAACUUUUCCUUGGACUCUUUUGUGAGCACAAUCAAUGGCAAACAAGUAUUUGCCUUUUCCUAAAGAUUCUCCUAAGAAUGAAUUGUUUUGCAUAAAGAAAAUUUUCUUUUCCGACCAUCUUAAGCAAUCACGACCUGACCUAAUUUACCACUGUAUAAUGAAGCAUGAAUAGUACAAUCAGCCAUGAUUUUGAGUAUAAAGCAACUACCCAUACUUAUAUUCCUUUGCAUUGCUUGUUUAAAAAAACUUCACCAAGUCAUGGCCAUUUUCCCUCAUCUUCCAUUUCCCACCCCCUUUCCUGCCCUUUAAACCACUUUUUUUAUGGACUAUUAUUUAAGGAGUCCAUAAGAUCCUAUUAGAAAAUAUUCUCCCUCUCCCUUCUGCCCCUACACUGCUCGUUUUGUACUUUUUGCUGGGGAAUAUUUAUUGGGCAUGUCCCUUUCAGUUGGAUUUUAAAGUUAAUAAGCCCAAGUCAUCAGUUUAUCUAUUUUAUAUUGCUGUAAUGCCUCUGUUGUACUCUCCAUGUUUCCCAAAGCCCCCAAAGCCCACACUAUACCCCUCUACUUGGCAUUGCCUCUGAGUACUGCUGAGGAACCGAAGUCCCCUCUGUUAUUAACACAGCAUUGAUUGUCCUGUUUCUCAACCCAUCAACCCAGAUCUAUAUACCACUUUGAUACAUUUUUGCAGUGUUGACUAUCAAAAGCAGGCCGGAACUACAUGAAUGGUUUCUAUUCCUUUUCCAGCAUUUUUUGUGAUCUCAGUUCCAAUUAUUGUCAUAUUCUGAGAACCAUUUGCCCACCUCUGUAACUACUUCUGGGCAAAAUGCUAAAUACAAGUCAGGCUGGUCCAUAGAGGGGGAUUGCAACUCGUUACAUUAUCAGUAAAAGUAGUCUCCCACAGAGAAUUAGCACUGACUUUAUUGUUCCAGAACACAUUGCUUGACUAAGAAUUUCUCCUCUCAAUGCUGUAGAGUAGCAGUUGCCAAGAUACAACUACAGCAAGAACUUGCUAAUAAUUUUUAAUUUAAAACUAUUUAUUAGAAAGAUUUAGAAUACAAGGUGAAAUUGAUAAUCUGGUCAUUAAAUCUUUAAAACCUAAAAGUAUGUCAUGUACUUAAUGACCAGUCUCUCUCCUCUACUGAGGGUCUAUGGAUAGAUCACUGUGGCUUAUUGUUUAUCACUGUGGCUUGUUGUUUAAGUAUAACUAGGGAGGAGUUCUAGAGUGGAACUCUUAAAGUCUAUUAUCUAUAUUAACAGAAAGAUAAGCCAACAUUAAUCAUUCUUCUGGACAUAAAAUUCAGAAGUGAGUUAGCUGCCUGAUAAUAAAGAAUAAUAACCGAGCCUUCUAAAGGACAGAGUUUUUGACGGCAGAAAAGUAUUUAGUAAGGAACUGCUGAAGCAAUAGCAGUUGCUUAUAAUUACUGAAAUAGGAUAUUGUUCCUCUGAGACGGAUGUCAAAAAAAAUCAACCAGCUCAUGGUGCUGUCUGCACCACAAGCUCCUGAGACAGCUGGAAGAGGAGUCUCUGGCCUUAGAAUACUGUAUGAAUUCUGAGUUAUUUCUGUAUCCUCAAUUCAAGAAGAAUGAGAUGGAUUGAAUACUGCCACUGGAGUAAAGAUAUUUCGAUCUGAGGAUUGCAAGCAGCUCUGAGAAACAUCACAUUCAGCAGAUUCUCCAGUUUUGAAAUCUAUAAUCUCAAACUAACCCAAGAUGAUGGUUUGCUGACCACUUGGAAGAAAAGAAGUACUUAAGAUCUUCCUCUAAAUAGGCUUGCUGCUUUACAGUGUUGGUGACACUUUCCCUUUGACGAUCCCUAGGUGGAGAUGGGGCAUGAGGAUCCUCCAGGGGAAAGUCUCACUACCACUGGGCAACAACCCUAUGCUGGGGUUUUCUACAAAAAUUUUUGAGCCUACAUGCAGUCCCAAGAUAACUACCAUACACCAGAGUGUUCUUCUCUUUGUCUUCACUCUCCUAUUACUAACCCUUUCUCACUUAAUUAGCUGCGUUUGCUUAUAAGUGUGUUUUUCUUGCUUGACUAUUUCUUCCGUAAAUGUCUAAUCUUUUUUUCUAGUGUUUCUUACUCAUUUCUAUGAUUCCCUUGCUAGUGUAUCCUGUGUGUAUUCUGUCUUUUUCUUUGUUCUGAAAUGUGUGCCUUGGCUUACCUGCUUGCUUCUAAUUGUUUGCUUUUUCAUUUUCAUUGAGAAUAUUUCUCAUUCUCUUUGCUCUCUUAGAUCUGCCUCUUCUUUCACUCUUCUUCCCUUUGCACCUGAGUGAAAAAUGCUAUGUGCUUUUUGCUGAUAGCCUGCCUACUUCUAGUACUCUAUUAUUUGUUAUUUUGUCCCUAUUUGUUGGUUUGAUAUUUCACUUUUCCCCUCCUGAUUCUGGCCUCUUUGCUGCUUCUCUCUUUAAUGUACUCUUUCCUACAUUUCCUUUUUGCCUCUCUUGGCCAUUUGCUCGCUCUUCCUGUUAUGUGUACUUGUAUUUCUAUUAUGUGUACCUUUAAUUCUCUUAUGUGUGCCUUUAUUCCUGUUAUGUGUGCUCACAUGUGUAUCUCUUUGUUCUUUGUGAGUUUCCAGUUUACUAUGCAUGGCUAUUUUCUUGUAUGUUUUUUCCUUUCUUUAUGCACCUUUAAAUAUUUCACACCCUUUAUGUCCUUCCUUUCCUUCUUGAUUUCAAGCAUCUUUCCCUUCCUGUUGUGCUUAUGUGUUGCACAUGUCCAUGCCUGUGUGUGUUUGUGUCCAAGGGGCUCCUUUAGCCCACUUCAAUAGGUACUGAGUGUCAGCUCUCAAAUCAAGGAUUGCAGAAUUACCUAUGCCAGACAGCCCUGUGAAAUUAUCCAUCACCAAAUGGUGGCAAGUCUAGACUGAAAUAAAAGACAACACUUAAAAGUGCUCAAAGUAGAAGACAAAGGACAAAUGAUUUGAAACUUGAGAACUGAAAUAUAAAAUGGAAAAACUAUGUCUGUGUCCCAAGAUGUAUUGAAGCCUCAGUACUCUGAAACCAUCAAAAUUGGACCUUGUUGGAUAAAAGAUGUGAUAGACAGUUGGAUGGUCUUAUUCAAAAUAAGGCUGAAGGUCCCAAAGUGGAGACCCACGGGAAGCUCAACACUUAAAAUGACCUGAUUUGAAGACCCAAGAUCCCAAGAUGGAAGAACCCAGAGACACAAAAGUACUCAUCUCUAGAUGGGUGGUAGGCAUGAGACAGUAUUUCAAAACUAAAUUAGAUGGGAAGAUCCUGUGACAUAGAGUAACCGAGACCUAAAUAAAUUCCAAAAUAAGAGCCUUAAACUACAGGUUUUUUUCUUUUCUAUUGAUAUUCUAAUCUUGGAGCAUUUCAGUUCUCAUAUCUCCAUUUAAGCCCACUUCUUUUAAGAAAUCCUAUCUAUUACUCCUGGGCUAUCUAAGUCUAGUUUAUAUUCAGACUUUGGGGCUAAUUAACAACUUUUUAGUAUCCUUUAAAAAAUAUUUGAUUUCUCUUCACUCCAAGAUACAAAUUGUAUUUCAAACAUCCCCUUUCCUCGGAAGCUCUAAGCUGUUGAAAAGAGGAAAGCAUAAGAUUCUUGGAGAAAAUGCCAGGCAUCUUAGAGAAAAUCUGAAGGGCAAUGAGAAAAAGUAGAAAACUAUAGUGUGGCACUCUGCUAAGAAGCACCAUCUAGCAACAUUUUCUUUAAAUGUGUGCACUGGAUUGCUAGCAGUUGAGACACUCUAUCCACCCUUGAGGGUUCCCCCAAAAGGGUGUUUGUGCCUGGGACAGAGUGAGGCCCCAAGGAGACAACCUGAACUCUGCUCAUAGUAGUGGCUUUAUAAUUUGGUAUUCUUCAUUAACCUUUCUCUGGGUUUAAUACCCAUCUGUGAGGGAUAAAGUGCUUUGCACUUGCACAUGGCUGACCUAGUUGCUGACCUAGUUACUGACCCCAUUGUUACAUAUGGCCUACUCCAAACACAGCCAGGAGAUAUCUCUGAGCACAGCCACAUGUGGUCCAACAUUCACCCCUCCAUCCACCCCCUCACUUCCAAAUAAAUACGCACCUCUAAACUUUAAGUUAAGAGGAUUUGGGAAGAUUUAGCAGGUAGCAUGUUUAAUCCUUUCCAAAAACUUAUUUCCUCUUACCAAGAGGGAAGACGUUUUCAAAGACUCAGGAAAACAAGGCAUUCUAAUUAAUAGUGUAUUAAGUGUGCCGACUAUCAAGUUUCAAAGCAUUAUAUGAAUGAGGGGUGAUCAUACUCUUUCAAAAAGAGCACUUUAAAAGGAAAGCUACUUUUAAAUCAUAAACCAAGUACUCAUGUAUGGACCAUAGUUAAACACCUCUGAUACAGGUGUUCUGGACUGUGCUAGAUAAUACUGAUUUCAAUCUGUACCUGUCCCUGUAAUUUAUGAUCAAAUACAGAAAAUUUGAAGAAAAGUAAAUUAUUGUAUUUUUAAAUUAUAAAGCACUUAAUUAUAUUCAUAUUGGAAAUUAAAUGUCUGAUAAAUAACAUAUUUUGGUCAUCAUGUUUCUGCUGCUGUGGUCAUUAUGAAUAAAAAUGGAGUAUUCCUCUAGCAGAAAGUGCAUGGAAACUGCUUUUAAACUAUAAAAUAUCAUAAACAUAAACCUACAUCUAUAAACAUUCUAUGCUAUAAGCUAUAGAUUAUAGUAUAACACCAAUGGGGUUAAUCUAUUACUAUCCCUUAUAAUAUGCGAAAUGCCAUGUGUAGACACUACAGAUAUCACAGAAUGUUAAAAUGUUAAAAUUAUAGGGUUAAAAAUUUCAGAAAAGCAUAUAUUAAAGUGCUUUGUAGGCAAUAACACCAUAUAAACACAAUGGGCUCCAUGUUUAUGAAUGAAUGAAUGAAUGAAUGUUACUUUUUAUGUGCCAGCUAUUUCUAUUAGCACUAUAAGAAUCAAAGAUAAUGUUUCAAAUUAGUAAGGAGAUUUACAUUCUAUUUAUACAUAAGUUAUUUUUUCAUCAAUCAAGACUUUACUGGUGAUAUCCAGAUUAAAUUAUUGUCUGUUAUAUCCCUUGUAAAAUGGAAUUAAUUUAAUAUAUACAUGAACUUUAUUGUGUACAACAUAAGAUGUUUUAUAUAUGAAUACAUAACUUUCUGUGAGAUGGGCAUAAUCACCCUCAGUGAGAAAGUCAGUAUGGCUAUGCAAGCUAUAUCUGUGAACUGAACAUUUUGGACACUAAAGAAAUACACAAUUUAUCAUUAUAUUGUGCCUAAAGCUGAGAAUAUUAAGGCACCCUAUAAAUGUAACUGGAUUGCUCGUUGGUAUAAGUAUUCAUUAUACUUGGUAAAAUGAAGUCUUUCUAAAUAAAUACUGAAUAUUUUAAAGGCUUGAGUAAAAGAUCUUAUAACUAAUAGAUAAUUGUCUAUAUGAUAGUCUCCAAAGAGUUAAGAAAUGAUAAACCAUUUUAACAUGUCUUUUGUAACAAAAGAUAUGCAUGAAAUAAAUUCAUGCAUUUUAAAUGUGCUUAAUAGCUGAUAAACGAACAUUGAUUUUCCUUUAUCUUACAAUGUCAGUAUUGUGCCCACAGAAAGCUAUUUUUGUAAAUUUUAAAAGCUUUCUGUUUUAUAAGGAAUUGUGGGCCUAAUCAAUAUUAAUACUUUCUUGAGGCCCAGAAAACCUCAUAACAUAUCGUUAUAUAUUAAAAAAAAAGUAAUGGAUAUGAAACCAAGACAAAAAUAGUUUUGUUUCAUUGUCAAGGCAUUGCUGUAAUUCCUAGACUGAAAACAAAAGAUCUUGACUUAAAGAUAAUACCUUAUUAAUUACCCCGGAGACUAUAUGACGUUACUACUGUUCAUUUUAUUUACCCAUUCAUUCUACAUGUAUAUUUGAGAGCCUAUUGGGUAUAUAAGGUUCUUAAUUGUCCUCAGAAACAUGAAAAACUGAACAUUCUGUGCGUUUCUUCUACCACACUGGCCACUACAAUAAGCAGGGUUUUCUACUGAGUUUGCUCCUUAAGUUACAGGAGUCUUCCUUAUUUAUUACAGUUACUUGACUUAUCCUUCAAAAGGGACAAUAAUUCAACCAAUUCGCAAGGUCCGAUUCUCAUAUGCCUUAUGGAACUAUUCAUACUCAAGCCAUAAUUGGUUUUGAAAUUCAUUUGCCACUUUGUUUUUCUUUAUCAUUUACUUUCUGACAAACACUGCCUCAGUCUAUUAAAAGAACAAUGACUUGGCAGGUAUCUGGCUCAUAAGGAAGUGGAGCACAUUCCUGGAAAGAAGGAGGUCCAUGUUUAAUCCCUGGUACCUCAUGGCCCCUGAAGCACUAAUGGGUUGUAAACCUAAUGCCCUUGAGUGCUACACAGGUGACUUUGGCAUAUGUUAGUGCAGUUGAUUCUGCUCUCUGCCAGACCACCAGGCAAGGAGUAGCCCCAAGCCUACACAGAAAAUUAGAGAUGGAGAUAUGAUUUCUGUCUUGUAACUGCUCCUCAAUUUAGCCCUUAAAAAGCUUACCAUCCAAAAAAUUAUUUGAUGCUGAAGAAAUGACCUGUUACAGCUUAAUAAUUUUAACAUGCAUGCUUAAGUUUUAAGAAUAAAAUAAGACAGAAGUAAUUGGCAAAAAUUGGAUUAUACCACCAAAUCUUUAAAAUCUUUGCCGAAAUAGGCUUUGACCUUUUCUACUUUUAAAUCACUCGCAGAGGGUGGGAAGGAGGAAGAGUGAAAGAAAAGGUCAAACCUAUUUCUAAGUGAAGCCUGCCUUUUUCUGAGAAAGAAAUUUUGGCUGCAUGGUAUUCAGCUAAGCUUUGGGUUAAAUAGCUAGGAAAUGUAUUUAAUGAGUGACUUGUCCAAUUUAAGAUAGUUUAAAAAACUAUAGUCAUAACUCACUGCAAAGCAAGAAAUCUUUAUUAUUCCACCUUCUAUCCACUGAACUCAAUUUGGGGUGGGAUUGUGGUUGGGGGUGCACUAUUGAAAAAUAGAAAGGAGAAAUUAACUAAAAGACUUCCUUUCACAGUUCCUAGCAUCGUAAGACUUUCACUACUGAUAACACAAGAAAACGAGGGCAUGCUAUCAUCUGAUUUUGUGACAUAUGAAGAAAUUGAGAACAAGUCCAUUUUUAAUGGAAAGAACUUCAUCUCUACCUAUCUACAUGAAAGGGAAUCUGCAAAAAUGUCCUGAUAAAUGGAAAACCCACUUUAACUCGUGAACUGACAUGAAAUGCAGUCUUCUGCACUUUGAAAAUCUUGCUCAACCUUGUUGAACAGCAAAGAACUAUUUACCAUCUACAUGUUAUAACUCAAACUGGGGGCGGGCAGGGGUAGGGCAGGAUGCUUUAUAAUGUCAAAUAAAAUAACUUUUGG